UUCUCAUACUGCUCCUGGAGGACCUCAUUGUUCAUUGCUAUCUUGUUGUUUUGAGCUUCUAGCUCAUCGACUUUAGCUUGAAGAGCAACCUUCUUUCCUUCCUUCUUUCGUUGCUUCGCACUAGGUGCAAGAGGGGUGUCAUUCUGUGUUCUGUGGCUUCCUUCGCUCCCCAUGUUGGAGAGGGAUGCCUGGUAAAAAAAGAGUG
rnacentral:lncRNA from 1 species